CAAAAACAGAUUGCUCCAAAAUACAAUGCGUAUGCAAAAACAAGGUUAUUUCAGAUGCCAAGUGGUGGGUUAGUAUAAGAAUAUGUAUGAAAAUACUACAUAAAUGGCACUAAAAGUGUGUCAAUAACGAGCGUCAACAAUUCCCCCAUGCUUAAACCUUGCUCAUUCUCGAGUAAGUCCAAGUUACUUGCUUAAUCAAAAAAUCAGCAUUGCCCUUCGGUGUCAUCCCUACACUCAGUUAUACAUAACAAGACAUAUUGCUCUCUCAAGUAUUUAGCAUUAAAGUUCAAG
rnacentral:lncRNA from 1 species